rnacentral:lncRNA from 1 species
GGUUAGCCUAGUUCUCUUGCCUACAGCCCAGCUACAGAAUAACUCCAGUUUGGCCUCCGGUCACAACUGAGACUUCAGGGAUCCAGUGAUGCUGUGAUUCUCCAGGACAAGAAACAUCCUGGGAGAACAAACACCUGCUCAGUUCCUCAUUGUUCUUGGACUGAUUAACAUCUUGUUUGCCGGAGAUGUACUGAACUCUCUGCAAGCCUUCCGUUACACCUUGUUUAUCCCAAUGUGAACUAUUGAACUCUCUGCAAGUCAUCUGUUACAUUUGUUUCUCCCGAUGUACUGAAUAAAAGGUGUGGUAAGCUGGGGGCUUUUGUCUUUGCUGCCCAGAGCAGCACUGAUCAGACCCAAAGCUCAGCUUCUUCUCGGUCUCAUUUUUCUACCUUUCCUGUAAUUCGCCGUGUGCUGCCGUGGCUCGCAGGAGACCAGGACUAACUGCAGAGGUUCUGGUAACGUCCCCUUCCCCUAUCCCCUACAGGAGUUGGAAUUUUUGCAGCCACUUUUGGGAAAGACUGUUUCAAGGGGCCUCUUGCCAGACCCAGGGCUGGAGCUGCAGAGUCAGAAUGCACGGUGGCUGGAGCUCUUCAAGCAGUUGUGAUGAGUUGUGUUCUCAGGACAGUGAAGAGAUACAAGGGAGCUCAGGUGCCUGGAGGUGUUUGGAGCUGGCAUUUCAACGCCUGCAUUUCUGUAAUGUGGAAGAGUGGAAGGGCAACUCACCUGGACCUUCCUGCACUCACCAGCUCAUCCUGGCACAGCCAGCCAUGCAAAGCAAGCAGCAAGCCUGGAGCCUGCACUUCCUGAGAUCCCGGCUCCUCAGGCUAAGGAGAAGUUGACAGAGCACCUUACUCAGUGAUGUGGCUGUUUUCUAAUACAUGACAAACACCUAGGUCAGGAAUUCAGUAGAAGGAAAUGGCUAAAAUAAAUUCCCCCCCAACAUGAGCAAAUUCUGGAUUCUCUAUGCGAAAGUCAUAAAUUUGACUUAAUAUAAACCUCCAAGAGCAAAAUGUAGGAAAAUUAUAAUUUUUGGAGGACACAUGAUGAUUACACAACUUGAGGUAGAGCAUAGUUGUAAGUUUUAAUCAGAAUGUUGUUGACUCUUUUCUAAUAGGCCUCACUUGAAAACUCCAAACUUCUAAAUGUGGGUAUAAGGCAAAAUGUGUAGUUGAUAUGCAAAUAAAAAUGUAAGUGAAGAUAUUAACUUUUCUUAUGAUAAAACUGCCUUAUUCCAUUUUUUAAUGUCACUUUUAUUUUCAGAGUAUGAAUAUAUAAUGUAGAUGAACUGAAAUUGAGAACCUCCAUGGACUCUUUCCUUUAAAAUUUUAAUUUUAUUAGCACAUGUUUUCAGUACAUGCAUCUUUUUAUUAACUUUAUUGGUACAUUUUAUGUAUACAUUAUGAACACAUUCAUAAUUGAGAAUUUGUACCUGUAAAUGAUAUAUCUUAGUUCUUGUUUUUUCCCAUUCCCCUUCCCUCCCUCAUUAUUUAUAAAAGCAGUGAAAUGAAUAUGACACACAUGUGUAAAUACCAAAUUGUCUCUUUGGUGUGAGAAACUGAAAGUGUAAAUGAGGACCAAAAUGUAUAAUAGAUGAUGUGAAAUAGGAAGCAAAGGUUCAAAGGGGAAGGGGGGUGGUGAGGGAAAGGAAAGAAAGGAAAGGAAAAAAAAUAUGAGAAAAGAAGGAAAAAUGAAGUACAUGCCUUUUACAGUCAUUCUGGGGAGUUGGCACAUGUACAUAAUACAGCUUCUACUUUCUUAAUCUCCUUCUCUCCCUUCUCCCUUCUCCUCUAGUUCCCCUUUCCCCCUUUUCGUUCUUGUUGAUAUCAUCAAUCUUAGCUCAGGUCUAUGGCACAUUAUGUCCACACUGACUGAGGUUAUGAGGGCCUUGUACCUGGCACAUCUUCACUCUCCCUACUUCCCUAUAGCCUCAUCCUCACCCCUUACCCUCAGAACCCUGGAACCAUCUGCAAGACACCCACACCACUGUCUCCUCUGUACUUUAUUUUUCUCUUAGUGUGUACUUUGUCUCAUUCAGAUGACAGAUACCAUAUGGUAUUCAAGUUUGUGUGUCUGAUUUGUUUCACUCAACAUUACAUUUUCCAGGUGCAUCCAUUUUCCUGGAAAUGUCUCAAAUUUGUCUUUUGUAUACAGAGAAUUUUGAACAUUUGAGAACACAAUUGAC